AGUCUCGCUCUGUCACCCAGGCUGGAAUGCAAUGGCACGAUCUCAGCUCACCACAACCUCCACCUCCUGGGUUCAAGCAAUUCUCCCACCUCAGCCUUCUGAGUAGCCAGGAUUACAGGUGUGUGCCACCACACCCAGCUAAUCUUUGUAUUUUCAGUUGAGACAGGGUUUUGCCAUGUUGGUCAGGCUGGUCUGGAACUCAUGACCUCAGGUGAUCCGCCCGCCUUGGCCUCCCAAAGUGCUGGGAUUACAGGCAUGAGCCACUGCGCCCAGCCUUUUUUUUUUUUUUUUUUUUUAAUUAUCAGAUGCCUGGUAACCACACCCAAAGGAAAGCUAUGGAAUGUUCUGUUGUUUUGCUUUUUUUUUUUUUUUUUUUAAUGGCUCAGCUCUGUUCAGGAAAAGGUUUAGUUUUCUAAGAAAAUUCCAAUAAUCUGAAUAAUGAUAAUUGCUGUCUAAACCUCCCUACAUAGUUGACGAUGCAUUGUUUCUCUCAUACCUUAUCUUUUGUAUAAAAAGAUAAACAUCUCUUUGGUUCUGUUUGCCUUCUGGUAAGGAAAGAAGUUGCACAGAGAAAGGCUGUUCUCCGGCUAAGAAGGAACCAAGAAGAAGUUGCCAACAUGGAGAGGCCCAGGGCAUGCUGGAGAGGGAAGCAGAGAGGCCCAGGGCAUGCUAGGAAGUAAAGCAGAGGGGCCCAGGGCAUGCUGGGAGGGAAGCAGAGAGGCCCAGGGCAUGCUGGGAAGGGGAAAUGGAGAGGCCUAGGGACCUUGGCUGCUAGACAGCUUGCUAUUCCAGGCUCCUCUUGAAAGCUCUUGUGCUCAGCUAGCUAGUCAUUGUGACUCAGCUCUGCCUGCGAAGCGCCUACAGUCUAGUUGAGAAGGUAAUUCAUUUCACCAGAGGAAAGGCGUUUUCUCCAGAAGAUCCCAUUGAAAUGAAGCAGGCCUAAUGGGGAGGCCAGGUGGAAUAGCAGCUGAGCCUGCAGUCUGUGGGGCUGUAUUGCCUGUGUUUGACACCCUGCCCUGCCACUUUCCAGAUGAGUCACUUUGGACAGUUUACUGAAAUUUCUCUGCCUCAGUCUUCAUUUAAAAACUGGAUAUAGCCAGGCGUGGUGGCUCACACCUGUAAUCCCAACACCUGGGGAGGCCGAGACAGGCAGAUCACGCAGUCAAGAGAUCGAGACCAUCCUGGCCAACGUGGUGAAACCCUGUUU
rnacentral:lncRNA from 10 species